AACUGAUACUACCUGCGGGAACCUGCGGAAGGAUCAUUGCUGGAACGCGCCCCAGGCGCACCCAGAAACCCUUUGUGAACUUAUACCUUACUGUUGCCUCGGCGCAUGCCGGCCCCCAGGGGCCCCUCGGAGACGAGGAGCAGGCACGCCGGCGGCCAACCUAACUCUUGUUUUUACACUGAAACUCUGAGAAAAAAAACAAAAUGAAUCAAAACUUUUAACAAUGGAUCUCUAGAUCGG
rnacentral:misc_RNA from 1 species